UACGUAGGGUGCAGGCGUUAAUCGGAAUUACUGGGCGUAAAGCGUGCGCAGGCGGUCUUUUAAGUCAGAUGUGAAAUCCCCGGGCUUAACCUGGGAACUGCGUUUGAAACUGAAAGGCUAGAGUGUAGCAGAGGGGGGUGGAAUUCCACGUGUAGCAGUGAAAUGCGUAGAGAUGUGGAGGAACACCGAUGGCGAAGGCAGCUAUCUGGCCCGUAAUUGACGCUGAGGCGCGAAAGCGUGGGGAGCAAACAGG
rnacentral:rRNA from 1 species